GAACUGAUCCUGCGGGGCCAGUGCUGAGGAACCGUGGCCGAGGAUCUGUUUCGGGGGUGGGGGGGAGCGACCCUGUUGCGGGACCACUGUCUAGGGAUCAUUUGUGAGGGGUCGUUGCUAAGGGGGAGGUCUCUAGGAACCAUUUUUGAGGGACUGUUGCUGAGGGACCUCCACCGAGGAGCCGUUCCUGAGGGGGUUUGCCAACAGUCCAGCCCAUUCCUGGGGGACCUUUGCAGAAAUCUCAUCGCUGAGGAACAUCACUGGACUGGCCAGAGAGCUAAUUUCUGACUCCCAGUAUGGAAGAACCUACUGUCCAGUUUUCUGAUGAGGAACUUGUGGACAACUUCCCUACCCUGGAUGACGGUAAUAGAGGCCUUUUCCCAGCACAGACUGUUUCAGAACAGGAAACACAGUGUUUCCUGGUUGCCCUUUAUUCCAGGGAAAGUUUGUCGUCUAAAUUAACUUUUCAAACAGGGAAUUCUGCUAUUGUUCUCAGCUGGAAAAUAAUAAAUAGGCUGAGAAUUUCAAUGUGACACUUUGUGUUUUUCUAGUUUCUAACACCACCAUUAAUAAUAAACUGACACCUUUUAAAACUUAGUCCUUUGACUGUGACCUAUUUCUCCUUUUCUGGACUGUCUUAGAAUUUCUUUUAAAAUUUUCUGAUGAUCCAAACUUUUUAAGAGAUGUCCUUGAUUUGGCAUCCCUUCUAGCCUACAGACUUGACCCCUUGACCUUGCUUUCUGGGUCUAUAAGGACCCCUGGCCCUG
rnacentral:lncRNA from 1 species